AGCAGGCGCGCAAAUUACCCAAUCCUGACACAGGGAGGUAGUGACAAGAAAUAACAAUACGGGGCUUAAAGUCUUGUAAUUGGAAUGAUGGGAAUCUAAACCCCUUCCAGAGUAUCAAUUGGAGGGCAAGUCUGGUGCCAGCAGCCGCGGUAAUUCCAGCUCCAAUAGCGUAUAUUAAACUUGUUGCAGUUAAAAAGCUCGUAGUUGAACUUCUGCUGUCAGGUUUUCGUUCCUUUCGGGGUUUCGUCAACCUGGUGGCUUUUUUCUGGGUGAAUUUAGCUUCGGCUUAAUUUCCCAGUAUUUUACUUUGAGAAAAUUAGAGUGCUUCAAGCAGGCUUUUGCCGUGAAUACUUCAGCAUGGAAUAAUAAAGUAGGACUUUGGUUCUAUUUUGUUGGUUUCUGAACCAAAGUAAUGGUUAAUAGGAACAGUUGGGGGCAUUCGUAUUUAACUGUCAGAGGUGAAAUUCUUAGAUUUGUUAAAGACGAACUACUGCGAAAGCAUUUGCCAAGGAUGUUUUCAUUAAUCAAGAACGAAAGUUAGGGGAUCGAAGACGAUCAGAUACCGUCGUAGUCCUAACCAUAAACUAUGCCGACUAGAGAUUGGAGGUCGUCAUUUAAAACGAC
rnacentral:rRNA from 1 species